rnacentral:tRNA from 1 species
ACAUUAAGAAGCUUUCACGGAUAAAGCAAUAGCCUUUUAAGCUAUUAUUCGGUGACUUCCAACCACCCUUAAUGAU